UACAGAGGGUGCGAGCGUUGUCCGGAAUCACUGGGCGUAAAGGGCGCGUAGGCGGGAUGGCAAGUCGGUCGUGAAAUCCCUCGGCUCAACUGAGGAUCGUCGAUCGAUACUGCCGUUCUUGAGGAUUGCAGAGGAGACUGGAAUUCCCGGUGUAGCGGUGAAAUGUGUAGAGAUCGGGAGGAACACCAGUGGCGAAGGCGGCAUCCUGGCCCUGUCCUGACGCUCAGGGGCGAAAGCGUGGGGAGCAAACCGG
rnacentral:rRNA from 1 species